GGAUUGUAAACUCCUGUUGUUGAGGAAGAUAAUGACGGUACUCAACAAGGAAGUGACGGCUAACUACGUGCCAGCAGCCGCGGUAAAACGUAGGUCACAAGCGUUGUCCGGAAUUACUGGGUGUAAAGGGAGCGCAGGCGGGCGAUCAAGUUGGAAGUGAAAUCCAUGGGCUCAACCCAUGAACUGCUUUCAAAACUGGUCGUCUUGAGUAGUGCAGAGGUAGGCGGAAUUCCCGGUGUAGCGGUGGAAUGCGUAGAUAUCGGGAGGAACACCAGUGGCGAAGGCGGCCUACUGGGCACCAACUGACGCUGAGGCUCGAAAGUGUGGGUAGCAAACAGGAUUAGAUACCCUGGUAGUCCACACCGUAAA
rnacentral:rRNA from 1 species